GAUGAACGCUGGCGGCGUGCUUAACACAUGCAAGUCGAACGAGAAAUGUAGACGGAAACCUUCGGGCGGAAGCCUUCAUUUCGAGUGGCGGACGGGUGAGUAACGCGUGGGUAACCUGCCUCAUACAGGGGGAUAACAGUUGGAAACGACUGUUAAUACCGCAUAAGACCACAGCAUCGCAUGAUGCGGGGGUAAAAACUCCGGUGGUAUGAGAUGGACCCGCGUUCGAUUAGCCAGUUGGCGGGGUAACGGCCCAACAAAGCGACGAUCGAUAGCCGAUCUGAGAGGAUGACCGGCCACAUUGGGACUGAGACACGGCCCAAACUCCUACGGGAGGCAGCAGUGGGGAAUAUUGCACAAUGGGGGAAACCCUGAUGCAGCGACGCCGCGUGAGUGAAGAAGUACUUCGGUAUGUAAAGCUCUAUCAGCAGGGAAGAAAAUGACGGUACCUGAGUAAGAAGCCCCGGCUAACUACGU
rnacentral:rRNA from 1 species